rnacentral:rRNA from 1 species
GGCGGAAUGCUUUACACAUGCAAGUCGAGCGGCAGCGCGGGGCAACCUGGCGGCGAGCGGCGAACGGGUGAGUAAUACAUCGGAACAUGUCCAUUUGUGGGGGAUAGCCCGGCGAAAGCCGGAUUAAUACCGCAUGAGCCCGAGAGGGGAAAGCGGGGGACUUCGCAAGAGGCCUCGCGCGAAUGGUUUGGCCGAUGUCCGAUUAGCUAGUUGGUGGGGUAAAGGCCUACCAAGGCGAUGAUCGGUAGCUGGUCUGAGAGGAUGAUCAGCCACACUGGGACUGAGACACGGCCCAGACUCCUACGGGAGGCAGCAGUGGGGAAUUUUGGACAAUGGGGGCAACCCUGAUCCAGCCAUUCCGCGUGAGUGAAGAANGCCUUCGGGUUGUNAAGCUCUUUUGUCCGGAACGAAACGGGUAGCGUGAAUAUCGCUGCCUACUGACGGUACCGGAAGAAUAAGCACCGGCUAACUACGUGCCAGCAGCCGCGGUAAUACGU